GCCGGCCAGCGAGUGCACCGGUCGCUUCGGAAGGAUCUGGAUGCGCCGAAACGCCUCAUAGUAGUCCCCAUUGGUCCGACUCUGCUGCAUACCUCUCUCUCACGCUCUAGAAGCUGUGUCGCGCACCAACAUUCUCUUUUUGCACCUGGUGCUCGUGACGUGGAGCGGUGUGGGCGCCGCUUCCGUCGAGUUUUCGAUGGGCUGAUGGCGGAAAAGCAGCUGUGCAUGGGCAUUCUCGUGCAUGGCCAAGCCCCCCGCGCGGCCUCACAUUUGCGGGGCUCCUGACUAAUGACGCCGGCUGCUGGUGGGCGUUCAGUGAGCACCGAAAGCCGUGGAAAGGCGGGCGUCCCGCGCACGUGGGGAUUCUGAAUGCGGAUGGCUCAAUCACCAUGCUGCUGAGGGGAGGGGUGCCGGUGUCGGAGGAGUGCAUCCAUCGCCUCGAGGCGGCUGUCAGCCAAUUCACGGACAGCCGCUCGUGCCCGCUGCCGGGAGACGAAGCGGAUGCUGACACAGGGCGGGUUGCAGUGGGUCUGGGAAGACAUGGAUGUUGCCCUCCCUGAGGGGCCCCAUCGCGGACCGGCACGCCCACGGAGGAGGAUCCGCGGGUGCUCUUCCGUCUCCCCUCCUUCGUGUUCGGUCCGUGGCAUGCAUGCAAGGCGUCGCUGCAGGGCGGACACAGCGUGUGCCGGCUCAUUCUGGUAGCGGCAUCGACGGCCGAGCGGACGGAUGCAGCGCAGGCCGCGGCGCAAGCAACCACGACGCCUUCAGCUGCGGGCAGCCCCCAGGCACCAUUUGCUGCAGCGCGACGUGGCGUGGGCCUCUGCUGAAGGCGCACCUUGCCCAAAUCGUCAGAACCAGCCCGUGUUGCCCAGGCUGUGGCAUGAUGCAGACCGUCGUCUCGUCGUCUUCUCGGCGAUCUGCAGCGUCGCAUUCAACGGGCGCGGCAUGACGCCAGCAGAGACCCGCGACAUUGCACUGGCCUUGAAGAGGGCCUUCGACUGCCUCCUCACUCAGGCGCGGCUCUCGCGCUUGCUCACCCUCUGCAGCGCAAGCUCCCGGGACGAGCGGACGAUGGACCCCGUGGCUCUGAUGUGUUUAGCCGCGAGCAGGUGCAUGAGACGGAGGCACAGUGCGAAGAGAGCAGGGUACCGGGGUGCCCCUAUCACGUGUACACCCCACAGCGAGGUUUGCGGGUGGGGAGUGCGGCGGCAGCGGACAGAAGGAUCAAGCAGCCAAAUGAAGUGAGCGCAACCUUGCGCGCCCCCUCUCACGGCGGGCACCACAGUGUGCGCCGCCGCGCCGGAAUGUAAGCGUCGCGCAGCUUCGCAGCCGCCGGCCACUGCCUGAGCCCUUGGCAGACACACGCACGACCUUGCGCUGGGCCCACACACGGCACUGUUGUCCAUCCACCGCGUGGCCGUGUUGUGUCGUGCGUAGCACACGUAUGCUCGGAGCAUCACGGGUGCUCUGCGGUGGCUGGACCAGCCGCCCCACGCGCUGACGCUGCUGGAAACGGUCUCAAGAGCGACGGGUGCGUUAGUGCCACUCAGGGCCGCCCCUAUCCGUGUUCGCCGCGCUGCUCAGAAGUGCCCCGGGUGAUCUGUACAGACGGUAUAAGUGGGCCGCAGCCAAUGCACCAAGACGCACCGCACCGACGAUGACGGUGGACGCGGUGUCCGGCCCCUACACCGACGCGCAAACGAACAGUUGAGGAGCCGCCUGCGUACAGCGGGCAACACAGCAAGCCCCCAUGACAAGCCAGCAUUGAGGUCACGGUCCCGCCGAUGGCGCGCGUGCGGCGGCGCACCGAGCGGUGCCUUCGCGCAUGUGCGCUGACUUUUCGCUUGUUUUUCUCUCGUCUGGUGGAACUGCGGUUAACCUUCAUUUGGACGGCGCCUCCGUCCUCUCUGCUUUCCGCAAGUGCGCGAUCUUCACACCGUGACGCAGUCCACCGUGCGUUAUCAAAGGCCCAUUGCAUAAAAUGCGAGGGAAACCCCGCCGGCAGGCCGAGCCGUGAUGGUGCACGCAAUUCGCGAAGUGGUAAAACUCGCGACUCUGGGAGGUGAGAC
rnacentral:misc_RNA from 1 species